GGUUGGAUGGCCGAGUGGUCUAAGGUGCCAGACUAAGGACUAGCACCCAAUAGGGUGUUCAACUUGCAUUGCUUAUGUAAUCUGGUCCGAAAGGGCGUGGGUUCGAAUCCCACUCCAAUCA